AUUUAGAGGAAGGAGAAGUCGUAACAAGGUUUCCGUAGGUGAACCUGCGGAAGGAUCAUUGUCGAAUCCUGCGAACGCAGAGCGACCCGCGAACGCGUUUAAACGAUACGGGGCCGAUGCGGGGGAGGCGGCUCGUCCCCACCCCUCGACUCGGUCUCGAGUCGGGGCGAAAGCCCCGCGAACAACGAACCCCGGCGCGGAAUGCGCCAAGGAAAAUGAAAUACGAGGGCCCGCCCGUCCCCGCCCCGUUCGCGGAGUGUCGGGUCAGGUUACGGUCGCUCACGAAAUGAAAACGACUCUCGGCAACGGAUAUCUCGGCUCUCGCAUCGAUGAAGAACGUAGCGAAAUGCGAUACUUGGUGUGAAUUGCAGAAUCCCGUGAACCAUCGAGUCUUUGAACGCAAGUUGCGCCCGAAGCCGUCAGGCGGAGGGCACGUCUGCCUGGGCGUCACGCGUCGCGUCGCCCCCCGCGCCCGGUGCCCCAUCACUGGGACGCCGGGUUCGUUUUCGGGGGCGGAUUGUGGCCUCCCGYGUCUCUGGCGCGGUUGGCAAAAAUGCGAGUCCGGUGCGACGGACGUCACGAYAAGCGGUGGUCGGUUCGUUCACCUCGUUAGUCGUCGUGCCUCGGACCGUCGUGCGCACGGGACCGUAGAUAGACCCUAAAGCGCUCGCCACCGAGCUUCCGGCGAGGAGGCGCGCGCUACGAUUGCGACCCCAGGUCAGGCGGGAUUACCCGCUGAGUUUA
rnacentral:rRNA from 1 species